CCUACGAGGGGCAGCAGUGGGGAAUAUUGGACAAUGGGGGGAACCCUGAUCCAGCCAUGCCGCGUGUGUGAAGAAGGCCCUCGGGUUGUAAAGCACUUUCAGUGAGGAAGAACGCCUGGUGGUUAAUACCCAUCAGGAAAGACAUCACUCACAGAAGAAGCACCGGCUAACUCCGUGCCAGCAGCCGCGGUAAUACGGAGGGUGCGAGCGUUAAUCGGAAUUACUGGGCGUAAAGCGCGCGUAGGUGGCUUGAUAAGCCGGUUGUGAAAGCCCCGGGCUCAACCUGGGAACGGCAUCCGGAACUGUCAAGCUAGAGUGCAGGAGAGGAAGGUAGAAUUCCCGGUGUAGCGGUGAAAUGCGUAGAGAUCGGGAGGAAUACCAGUGGCGAAGGCGGCCUUCUGGACUGACACUGACACUGAGGUGCGAAAGCGUGGGUAGCAAACAGGAUUAGAUACCCUAGUAGUC
rnacentral:rRNA from 1 species